AUACGGAGGAUGCGAGCGUUAUCCGGAUUUAUUGGGUUUAAAGGGAGCGUAGGCGGGAGCUUAAGUCAGCGGUUAAAUGGUGCGGCUCAACCGUGCCCUGCCGUUGCAGCUGGGUUUCUUGAGAGUGCAAGAGGCGGAUGGAAUUCAUGGUGUAGCGGUGAAAUGCUUAGAUAUCAUGAAGAACUCCGAUUGCGAAGGCAGUCCGCUGGGGCACGUCUGACGCUGAUGCUCGAAGGUGCGGGAAUCAAACAGGAUUAGAUACCCUGGUAGUCCGCACGGUAAACGAUGAUUACCCGCUGUCGGCGGUAGACAGUCGGCGGCCAAGCGAAAGCGAUAAGUAAUCCACCUGGGGAGUACGCCGGCAACGGUGAAACUCAAAGGAAUUGACGGGG
rnacentral:rRNA from 1 species